rnacentral:rRNA from 1 species
CAGCAUGCCNCGGUGAAUACGCUCCCGGGCCUUGUACACACCGCCCGUCACACCAUGGGAGCCGGUAAUACCCGAAGUCAGUAGUCCAACCUCGUGAGGACGCUGCCGAAGGUAGGAUUGGCGACUGGGGUGAAGUCGUAACAAGGUAUC